GGAAACUUGAAACGUAGAAUCGCCAUUUUAGUUGAAGAAAAUUUUAUGUUUUAAAUCUUCUCCAGGGCUUUGUCAAUGUAUAUGCAGUAACCACCUUAUUGAUAAAGCACACAGAUGUUUGUGGAGUGAGACGUGGCAGGGUGAAAGCAGUCGAUUGUAUUAAUCGGUUGCAGAACUUCUGUUUAUGCAGUCCUGUCGCAUUGUAUACUUUAACAUCUACAAUACAGAGUGUGAAGUGAAACAAGACUUGUGUUUAUUAUAUAUUGCUGGUACCACACACCUGGACAUAUGUAACUGUUGUUUAGAUCUUGUACCCUUUCCCUACUAACUACAUUUAUAGUAGCAUGAGCUAGCCUGGGUAUAGAAGAUGAAUUAAAAUGAUUACAUUGUGACCAGAUAUUGUGCAUGGUAUUAAACUAUCAAAUAAACCAACUAAUUGGUUGUGACAGUGGUGUUUACAGUACAGGUAUAUUUACAGACUUUAAUAGCACCAGAUUAAGAUGUUUAACUAUAAGGAAAAGAAUGAAAAUUGUUUAUAUCAUGACAUGAUUCAAUAAAUGGUAAC